GAUGAACGCUGGCGGCGUGCCUAAUACAUGCAAGUCGAGCGAACAGACGAGGAGCUUGCUCCUCUGACGUUAGCGGCGGACGGGUGAGUAACACGUGGAUAACCUACCUAUCAGACUGGGAUAACUUCGGGAAACCGGAGCUAAUACCGGAUAAUAUAUUGAACCGCAUGGUUCAAUAGUGAAAGUCGGUUUUUCUGUCACUUAUAGAUGGAUCCGCGCCGCAUUAGCUAGUUGGUAAGGUAACAGCUUACCACGGCAACGAUGCGUAGCCGACCUGAGAGGGGGAUCGGCCACACUGGAACGGAGACACGGUCCAGACUCCUACGGGAGGCAGCAGUAGGGAAUCUUCCGCAAUGGGCGAAAGCCUGACGGAGCAACGCCGCGUGAGUGAUGAAGGUCUUCGGAUCGUAAAACUCUGUUAUUAGGUAAGAACAAAUGUGUAAGUAACUAUGCACGUCUUGACGGUACCUAAUCAGAAAGCCACGGCUAACUACGUG
rnacentral:rRNA from 1 species